CUUAUGUUUGUUAUUAUUCUCUUCAGGGGGGACUAUGUUACUGUUGUGAACUUUGAUUUCAGUUUAAACCUCAUUUACAAGAGACUAUCUCCCAGAAUGCAGAAGGCGAACCUUUUGGAGAAAGCACCACAAAGAUGCCUGCAGAGACCACAUCCUGCACUAGAAGAUCCAGAGUGAACUUUGAGCUAUGUACCUCCCUUUAGACCAUGAUGAAUACAAAGUCAAGAGCCUUGGAAAGAGGAGUAUCCCUCUUUCCUUCCCAAAAAACACAACUCUGCUCCUGAUUUGGCCCUCCCAGCUUUAUGAAGGGGAUGGAGAAGGGGUUGAUAUUUCUCAUCAUCACUAUCACCAACUACUGACUAAUUUUCAACAACUGAGGUAAGCUCCUUGACCCGGGAGUGGCAUCACUUUGCAGUCCUGGUGGUGAUGGUAGAUAGUGUACC
rnacentral:lncRNA from 1 species